UUUGCAUUUUCGAUUAAAUACACAUUUUUUUCUUCCACAAUGCAUAGCUUAAAUCAAUCAUUUAUAAUCACACGAAACAUGUCGCCGUAUAUAUCUUUGCAAAUGUUAGACCAGUACCUUGGUCUAACUCGGUUCGUAGAGCGGUAAGCUGUUGACGAACGUCGAUGAACAGCCAUAUUAAACUAGCGGUCGCUAAUACGGAGGCACAUGCCAAAAAGGCGUUGCAAGCCUUGAAAAAUCCAGGACAACCUCGACCUCGUCUACCUCUGCAUUUACGACCGCCUCUGGUAGAAACGUUCCGGAGUAUUCCAGAGUACUCCGAACGAUCAUCGCUGCUGUCUGUUAACAACUCCUGGGAAAGAUGAGAAAAACAAACAAAUUGAAAGAAAAUCAACUCGCAACAUUUUAUAUAACAAUAUUUUAUUAUUUCUUAUCCUUUCUUCUUAUAAUGUUAAUCAUUGUUAGACAAAACAGAAUGUUCUCUAUUCAAUUGUUAUCUAUUCUUAUGUGACUCAUUCUUUUAUCUCAAUUUCAGGUUGAAUCGAUAUUUAUAUCAGUAUGUAUAUCAAAUGAAUUCGCGGAAAAGAGAGUAUAUCAGUUAAUUGAUUUGUAUGCUUGCAGGUUGUUGAGGAAUUGUUGAUGUUUCUGACAUUCCUGGAUAUCUUAUCGCAAUGAAGAGUCCGUCUUCGAGAAUUUGUCUGGAUUAUUAAUCACCUGGGAGCUGCGUUUGCCGGAACUUCGACGGGAAACGGCGUGCGCCGGUGCAAGAGCGUCGAGCUCCUUCCGCUUCUUCAUCUUCUUCAUCGGCUGACGAAGCGGCACCGUCACUGCCACCGAGUCCAUUUCAAGUAAUACCACGCCACCUAUCUUUUUAGAAUAUCUUCGGCGUGACUUCUCCCCAGGUGGGAGGAUCAGAUCGGCGCUGUCAGAAUUGCUGUCCGAUAACAGAUCGAGCAAAUUGAUGAUCUCCUUGGAAUUGGACUCCUUCAUUCUCGUCGUGAACAUGUGUCGUGUGUCAUGAACUGUCAAAAUCGUCGAACAGUCGUGGCCGAUGUAAUGUCAUAACCUCUACGAUUUAUUAUGUGCUACAGUCACGAAUGAGCUAUGAUUCUCCUCCUUUUCCCUCCGCCUAAUAGUCGGCUAUUGAUGCGACAUCUAUCGUCAUCUUCAGGAAAUUUCUCUCAAAUGUCAAAUUUAUCCGUGGAGUCUUUGUUUCCUAACAAUGGUGGAUACGUUCCAACUAACAUAUAUUAUUUUGCACUGGAAAAAUCUUCGUUUGCGAUAUUAAAAAACAUAAAGCAGAUAAAUUGGAGAAUUCGGAAUCGGGCAAUGGCGGGACAUGGUGGAGCCGCUCCGACACUUUUAUGAAUCCCGAAGGCACCUGCACCUGUACGAGGCUGGAGGUUCGCCAAAGAACUGAUAGCGUGGGCGUCGAAGACAUGGACAUAAAGACACGUGCAUGUACCUGUGCGCAUCGGCACCUUUGAGAGGGGGAUCGAAGUCUUUUACCUUCCUACUUCAUUGGCUGGAUUCAAGAAAUAGUCAUUUUGUUUCACACCGAAACAAUGUACAACAUUGAUAAGCCGAGGAAGAAGAAGGCAGAUUCGUGUAAGACGCCGGAGAAUCUUGGAAGGUGGAAGUAGGCCGUGCAAAUGAGGUGGACUUCGCGAAACACCUCUGCUACACCGGAGCGACCAGUCACAUGCUAAUUGCAGAACAAGCAGCUACAGAAUUUUGUAGGGCGCGACGUUGUGGGAUUCAUCGCGUUGGCGAGAAAAGAAAAAAUUGGCGGAAAGAAACCUGCGAAAGAGGGAGAGCUGAAUAUGAUGACGAUUGAAAUCAGAGAUGUAAGAACAACGUCAUUAAGCACGGAAGCGUAUCGGGAUCUUCCGAGAUCGACGCUGCCGAUGGAGAAGACUCGCACAAGUCUCUCGCAGGCCGGCUAGUUAUUAGCGCGUCAAUAAUUAAGGUAAUCUUUGCGGUAAUUAACUCCAGUUGAGACUUAGGUGGUAAUGCGGCGCACCUGCGAUAUCCCGCGGUCAACAGGUUGUUUUACAGGCGGCUCAUAAUUGCGCGCAGUGUCUCAAUUAGCGCGAAAUGUAGACCUUCUAUGCCGACUCUCGAUCUACAUGCGGCAUCUGUAAUUGCAUUUAUAUAUGUAUAUACGUUCUUCCUAUGGAACUUUCGGAUAAAUUGCUCCGAGCACAAUUGCACAAUUACACUAGAUAAUAAUAGAAUUAAGCGAAAAAAGUUUGAAUUAGCAACGCAAUUUGUCAUUUGUCGAUUAUCAUCAGAUCACGAAAAAUGUCGCGAAAUAUUUACGAUCUUUAUUCACCUUAUUGUGAAUCACGUGGGUCGCUGUAGAAGCAAUGACACACGCACAAAAUGAUGCUCACGUUAACAGGUGAUAAUUUUUUCGAUUAUUUAAUUUCAAUUAGCGACACAUUGUUCUUUUCGGGACACGCGCACACGGCGACCUGUCAAUUGACAGCUCUUGUUUAAUUCACGUAGGAUGCACCUAAGUGGAUGUAUGCGUUGCGACCAAGACGCGAGUGCACUUAUGUAACAUUUUUAUCGUUUUGUCGGAACCUUCGCGACGAGUCUCGUGCGCGACAGCUUGUCGCCUCUGCGAGAAUCAGUAUUUCAGUCAACCUCAUCAUCGAGAACUGUCUUCGAAACAUGUCUGCGGUUCGAGUAUACUUAUGCUAAUUUUUUAUCAAUCCAAAGGAUUAUAAAUUAGGUAUUACAAUUAUAAAAGCUUCACUGCGAGAGAUUAAAGGAGAAUUUUUUGCCAUAUUUUAUUGUUAUGUCGAAAAUGAACGAGACGAGAGAUUCAUCAAUUUCAUAAAUGCGAAUUUUUUUUUUUUUUAAUUUUAUUUAAUUCGUGUGAAAGACUCGGCACUGAAAAGGCUCUCCUUUAUCGCGGUGAUAUCAUAUAAGACUUAUCGCGAUCGGGCAUAUGUAAUCAAACGUCAAAUGAAUUCUGUGAUAAAGUAAUAACACUGUCGGCAUGUUUAUGAAUCGGCACAAAGGUUUGAUAUUCUUAACUUGUUCGAUACGAGGAAUGCCAAUUGAAUGCCGAUCGAACGUUGGUUUGAGAAAACAGUAUACGAGAAAGUCAGAUUUAUUUUAGCGCUAAAUCUUUCUCUUUUCUCGUAAGAUUUUACAUAUAAAAAUAAUACAUAGUUAGUUCUAGAAAAGCUUACCUCAAGAUCUUUCAAAUUUAUUGUAGUGUCUAUAUAAUGAUCACUUUAACUGCGCACAAAUUUUCACAAAAUUUUCGGAUAUCUUUUUCUUCUCUUAGUCACAAAAAUAAUAUAAAUUCUCUAAUUUUAUUUGCAAUAAUAUAUUCGGAAAAAUUCGCGUGUUACCUUCGCACCUCGACGAAUCUAUAUAUAAUCGUACCUCAGACACGACGCGGAGAUCAGUGCGGUGACACAGCGGCCGCGAAUCGUUUUAACCAGGAAAUCGUUCUCGCCUUACAGGAUGCCGGCGCGUCAAUAUUGACACAUUUCUUACGAAACACGAGAGAACCGGGCUUUCGCCGGUCCUCUAUCUGGUCAUUCCCGUGAAAAAAGCCAUGGAAAAUGCCAAAAGAAUUCAAUAAGCACAAAUCUCGUAUAAAUAAUAAUAUAAUCUUUCCGUCAUAAUUUUUUUAUAA